AGUUGUAGCGCUGAAACAUUUUAUGCAUACAAUUCCGAGGAAACACAAUAGUCAUGGAAAUGUCCUUAUUCCUGAUUCUACUAUCACACUGUUGUCAUAUCUACUAUCACACAGUUCCUCAUUCUACAUGUCCUCACUCCAAUAAUAAGAAAAAGGAAAAGGAAAAAUAGAGCUAAUCCGCUAGAAAUGUCCGUAUUCCUGAGUAAUAUUCGAUGGAACCGUGCAAUUGCACUGCAGUGUCAUGGAUUUACUCUGCCACUUCAACAUCUCAUUAUCCUGCAGCGAUGGAAAUGAGCAUCAGCAAGGCAUAUAGAUAUAGUGAAUAAAUUGAGAGGAAGCAUAAGCUCAGAUGAUAUAGGAGACUGGGACUAAGAUUCUGAUACAAUGAGAAUAUGCACUGAAAUUUGCCCCAAAAUUACCUUUUGCAACUCUUCAAAUCUCUUGGUUGAAGCAAACAGUGAGGUCUCAACCUACUCCCUCCUGUGAGAAACAGCUCCCCUCAACUUCUUAGCAUCUGUACCAAAAAAGAGGGGAAGUUAAUGUACCUUUGCAAGAAAAAUAAGAAACGAAAAUAGAAAAGGAGUUUCUUGGGCAAAAACCACAAUCCUUAAUGUGUGAAGAAAGAAUAUAAUGAUUUAAAUUGUACACCUUCAGUUCAUUCAUGAUUGAACGAUAUGAUUCCGUUGUGUCACAUAUACACUACAACCUUUUUCACCAUUCUGAAUCAACAACUUCCGAAAUAAAAAUUUAUGGAAGAAAUAAAUAGUAGUGUAGUUACUCUUAUAUUCAACAAUAAUGUGUGGCAACAUAUAUACACAAUUAUGGUGCAAAUAAUCAAAGGCAAAACUAAGAUAAUAUUGUGUAAGCAUGUGCGUGUGGCUAGGAAUUUCUUGCUAUCAUCAUCUGAGAUUAAAGAUACAUUUUUGUCUUUUUCGUUAACAUUGGAAUUUCUUGCUGUUGUCACACUGUCUUGUAUAGAUAAACCAUGUAAUUAAUAGUAGGAAUCAGUACGUCCGUGAAUGGUGAGUUAGCAUAUGCUUUGCCUAUAUAUCAUGCAUGCAUGGACAGUACCAAACAUGUACUUCAAGCAUGAUGAUUAACGAUGGCAUGGAGAUUAUUUUCAGAAAAAAAACAUGGUAUGGUGCAGGGCGUGCGGCCAUCCCUUAGCUGGAACUCACCAUGUCACACUCUAUCACUACUCACUGGUUCUACUUGCUGAUGCGCUUGCCCAAUCUUCAUGUAGAUAGCAUCUUUCUUCUAGUGCUUAGUAGGU
rnacentral:lncRNA from 1 species